CGCACAUUGCGCCCUCUGGUACUCCGGAGGGCAUGCCUGUCCGAGCGUCAUUUCAACCCUCCAGCCCGGCUGGUGUUUGGGUCGCGUCCUCCGGGGCGGGCCUCAAAGACAGGGACGACGCCGCGUCUGACUCCGAGCGUAUGGGACUUUGUCACUGCUCGAUCGGUCAGCCGACGUUGGGCCACCCACCCCAAUUUUUUUCAGGUGGACCUCGGAUCAGGUAGGGAUACCCGCUGAACUUAA
rnacentral:misc_RNA from 1 species